CAAUAAGCGGAGGAAAAGAAACCAACAGGGAUUGCCCUAGUAACGGCGAGUGAAGCGGCAACAGCUCAAAUUUGAAAUCUGGCUUCGGCCCGAGUUGUAAUUUGUAGAGGAAGCUUUAGGCGCGGCACCUUCUGAGUCCCCUGGAACGGGGCGCCAUAGAGGGUGAGAGCCCCGUAUAGUUGGAUGCCUAGCCUGUGUAAAGCUCCUUCGACGAGUCGAGUAGUUUGGGAAUGCUGCUCAAAAUGGGAGGUAAAUUUCUUCUAAAGCUAAAUACCGGCCAGAGACCGAUAGCGCACAAGUAGAGUGAUCGAAAGAUGAAAAGCACUUUGAAAAGAGGGUUAAAUAGCACGUGAAAUUGUUGAAAGGGAAGCGCUUGUGACCAGACUUGCGUCGGGCUGAUCAUCCGGUGUUCUCACCGGUGCACUCUGCCCGGCUCAGGCCAGCAUCGGUUCUCGCGGGGGGAUAAAGGUUCCGGGAAUGUAGCUCCUCCGGGAGUGUUAUAGCCCGGGGCGUAAUGCCCUCGCGGGGACCGAGGUUCGCGCUCUGCAAGGAUGCUGGCGUAAUGGUCAUCAGCGACCCGUCUUGAAACACGGACCAAGGAGUCAAGGUUUUGCGCGAGUGUUUGGGUGUAAAACCCGCACGCGUAAUGAAAGUGAACGUAGGUGAGAGCUUCGGCGCAUCAUCGACCGAUCCUGAUGUUUUCGGAUGGAUUUGAGUAAGAGCGUUAAGCCUUGGACCCGAAAGAUGGUGAACUAUGCUUGGAUAGGGUGAAGCCAGAGGAAACUCUGGUGGAGGCUCGCAGCGGUUCUGACGUGCAAAUCGAUCGUCAAAUCUGAGCAUGGGGGCGAAAGACUAAUCGAACCAUCUAGUAGCUGGUUACCGC
rnacentral:rRNA from 1 species